GAAAGCUAGGGGAGCAAAUGGGAUUAGAGACCCCAGUAGUCCUAGCCGUAAACGAUGGAUAUUAGGUGUUGUGCGACUCGACCCGUGCAGUGCUGUAGCUAACGCGUUAAGUAUCCCGCC
rnacentral:rRNA from 1 species